UCAGUUAAGCUAGGAGGAACUGCAGAAC
rnacentral:sRNA from 1 species